rnacentral:rRNA from 1 species
CCUACGGGGGGCUGCAGUGGGGAAUAUUGGACAAUGGGGGGAACCCUGAUCCAGCCAUGCCGCGUGUGUGAAGAAGGCCCUCGGGUUGUAAAGCACUUUCAGUGAGGAAGAACGCCUGGUGGUUAAUACCCAUCAGGAAAGACAUCACUCACAGAAGAAGUACCGGCUAACUCCGUGCCAGCAGCCGCGGUAAUACGGAGGGUGCGAGCGUUAAUCGGAAUUACUGGGCGUAAAGCGCGCGUAGGUGGCUUGAUAAGCCGGUUGUGAAAGCCCCGGGCUCAACCUGGGAACGGCAUCCGGAACUGUCAAGCUAGAGUGCAGGAGAGGAAGGUAGAAUUCCCGGUGUAGCGGUGAAAUGCGUAGAGAUCGGGAGGAAUACCAGUGGCGAAGGCGGCCUUCUGGACUGACACUGACACUGAGGUGCGAAAGCGUGGGUAGCAAACAGGAUUAGAUACCCCAGUAGUC